CCUAACACAUGCAAGUCGAACGGUAACAGGAAGAAGCUUGCUUCUUUGCUGACGAGUGGCGGACGGGUGAGUAAUGUCUGGGAAACUGCCUGAUGGAGGGGGAUAACUACUGGAAACGGUAGCUAAUACCGCAUAACGUCGCAAGACCAAAGAGGGGGACCUUCGGGCCUCUUGCCAUCGGAUGUGCCCAGAUGGGAUUAGCUAGUAGGUGGGGUAACGGCUCACCUAGGCGACGAUCCCUAGCUGGUCUGAGAGGAUGACCAGCCACACUGGAACUGAGACACGGUCCAGACUCCUACGGGAG
rnacentral:rRNA from 1 species